CUUGGUCAUUUAGAGGAAGUAAAAGUCGUAACAAGGUCUCCGUUGGUGAACCAGCGGAGGGAUCAUUACCGAGUUUACAACUCCCAAACCCCUGUGAACAUACCUAUACGUUGCCUCGGCGGAUCAGCCCGCGCCCCGUAAAACGGGACGGCCCGCCCGAGGACCCUAAACUCUGUUUUUAGUGGAACUUCUGAGUAAAACAAACAAAUAAAUCAAAACUUUCAACAACGGAUCUCUUGGUUCUGGCAUCGAUGAAGAACGCAGCAAAAUGCGAUAAGUAAUGUGAAUUGCAGAAUUCAGUGAAUCAUCGAAUCUUUGAACGCACAUUGCGCCCGCCAGUAUUCUGGCGGGCAUGCCUGUUCGAGCGUCAUUUCAACCCUCAAGCCCAGCUUGGUGUUGGGACUCGCGAGUCAAAUCGCGUUCCCCAAAUUGAUUGGCGGUCACGUCGAGCUUCCAUAGCGUAGUAGUAAAACCCUCGUUACUGGUAAUCGUCGCGGCCACGCCGUUAAACCCCAACUUCUGAAUGU
rnacentral:rRNA from 1 species